UACGUAUGGUGCAAGCGUUAUCCGGAUUUACUGGGCGUAAAGGGAGCGCAGGCGGCGCGCCUAGUCUGAUGUGAAACCCCGGGGCUCAACCCCGGGCAUGCAUUGGAAACUGGCGGGCUGGAGUGCCGGAGAGGUAAGCGGAAUUCCUAGUGUAGCGGUGAAAUGCGUAGAUAUUAGGAGGAACACCAGUGGCGAAGGCGGCUUACUGGACGGCAACUGACGCUGAGGCUCGAAAGCGUGGGGAGCAAACAGG
rnacentral:rRNA from 1 species